rnacentral:rRNA from 1 species
AUUGAACGCUGGCGGAAUGCUUUACACAUGCAAGUCGAGCGGCAGCGCGGGGGCAACCCUGGCGGCGAGCGGCGAACGGGUGAGUAACGCAUCGGAACGUACCUUGUAGUGGGGGAUAACUAUCCGAAAGGAUAGCUAAUACCGCAUACGCCCUGAGGGGGAAAGGGGGGGAUCGCAAGACCUCUCGCUACAGGAGCGGCCGAUGUCCGAUUAGCUAGUUGGUGAGGUAAAGGCUCACCAAGGCGACGAUCGGUAGCUGGUCUGAGAGGAUGAUCAGCCACACUGGGACUGAGACACGGCCCAGACUCCUACGGGAGGCAGCAGUGGGGAAUUUUGGACAAUGGGGGCAACCCUGAUCCAGCCAUUCCGCGUGAGUGAAGAAGGCCUUCGGGUUGG